rnacentral:RNase_P_RNA from 1 species
UGAGCGAACUAUGCGGCAGCGGAAACGUUUUAGUUUAUGAGGAAAGUCCGGGCAUCACAGAGCAGGGUAACUGCUAACGGCAGCCGAGGGCGACCUUAGGGCAAGUGCAACAGAAAUAAAACUUCAUUUCUCCGAUGGGAGGGGUGUAAAGGUGGAAAGGCGAGGUAAAAGCUCACCAGAGUGCGUGAGAGCGUACUGCUGUGUAAACCCUACCCGAUGCAACGUCUAUUGGUGCUUUAUAUCUCAACGUCUGCUCGGCGGAUAUAAAGUAAUGACGGCUUGAGCUUAUCGGCGACGAUAAGAGUAGAUAAAUUGCCGCACACGAC